rnacentral:tRNA from 1 species
GCCUGGCUGGCUCAGUUGGUAGAGCAAGUGACUCUUGAUCUCAGGGUCAUGAGUUCAAGCCCCACAUUGGGCA